AUUGAACGCUGGCGGCAGGCCUAACACAUGCAAGUCGAACGGCAGCACAGAAGAGCUUGCUCUUUGGGUGGCGAGUGGCGGACGGGUGAGUAAUGUCUGGGAAACUGCCCGAUGGAGGGGGAUAACUACUGGAAACGGUAGCUAAUACCGCAUAACGUCGCAAGACCAAAGUGGGGGACCUUCGGGCCUCACACCAUCGGAUGUGCCCAGAUGGGAUUAGCUAGUAGGUGGGGUAAUGGCUCACCUAGGCGAAGAUCCCUAGCUGGUCUGAGAGGAUGACCAGCCACUGGAACUGAGACACGGUCCAGACUCCUACGGGAGGCAGCAGUGGGGAAUAUUGCACAAUGGGCGCAAGCCUGAUGCAGCCAUGCCGCGUGUAUGAAGAAGGCCUUCGGGUUGUAAAGUACUUUCAGCGGGGAGGAAGGCGGUGAGGUUAAUAACCUUGCCGAUUGACGUUACCCGCAGAAGAAGCACCGGCUAACUCCGUGCCAGCCGCCGCCGUAA
rnacentral:rRNA from 1 species